rnacentral:rRNA from 1 species
UACGAAGGGGGCUAGCGUUGCUCGGAAUGACUGGGCGUAAAGGGCGCGUAGGCGGUUUGGUCAGUCAGAUGUGAAAUUCCUGGGCUCAACCUGGGGGCUGCAUUUGAUACGUUUGGACUAGAGUGGGGAAGAGGGUCGUGGAAUUCCCAGUGUAGAGGUGAAAUUCGUAGAUAUCAGGAGGAACACCGAUGGCGAAGGCAGGUCUCUGGGCAUUAACUGACGCUGAGGAGCGAAAGCGUGGGGAGCAAACAGG